ACCACGACUCUCGACAAUGGAU
rnacentral:rRNA from 2 species